CGGCGGACGGGUGAGUAACACGUGGGUAACCUACCUAUAAGACUGGGAUAACUUCGGGAAACCGGAGCUAAUACCGGAUAAUAUUUCGAACCGCAUGGUUCGAUAGUGAAAGANGGUUUUGCUAUCACUUAUAGAUGGACCUGCGCCGUAUUAGCUAGUUGGUAAGGUAACGGCUUACCAAGGCGACGAUACGUAGCCGACCUGAGAGGGUGAUCGGCCACACUGGAACUGAGACACGGUCCAGACUCCUACGGGAGGCAGCAGGCC
rnacentral:rRNA from 1 species